UGGUGGAUCGAAAAAAACUUCUUUCUUCAAGACAAUUCGGCUUCAGAAAAAGAAAAUCCUGUUACGAUAACUUAGGCAUCCUUCUAUCAGAUAUCUAUAACGGCUUUGCACUCAACAAAUCCAUAGCUUGCCUAUUUCUUGAUGUUAUUGGGGCGUUCGAUAACGUGCUCUCUAACAUCCUCAUAGACGAUCUUAUAAAACUCGGUCUCCCCUCCCAAACUAUGUCAAUUUGUAUACAAUCUUAUCUACCUAAGAAAGCUGCAAUUCGUAAUCAACGGGGAAAUCUCAGAUACUCUAUUCUCUUUUAGGGGCGUCCCCCAAGGCUCGAUUCUAAGUCCCCUUCUCUUUAACAUCUACAUCUCAAAAUGCCAAAAGAUUCUCAAUAAUAAAUGCGACAUUCUACAAUUUAUUGAUGAUAUUGUCUUGUACUCCAGAUCUCCGAAUAUCGACCAAUCACUCAAGUCCCUAGAACAUUCAGCAAAUAAACUAGCUUCUUAUCUCGAAUCUAAAGGAGGGAUAUCUCCCUCCAAGUCCUCUGGUAUUCUCCAGAAGAAGAAAAAGCCUUCUCUCCCACUCCCUCAACCUGCAAAACUCGGUUAUCAUUUCAUCCACGUCUCACAGAUUCCUUGGAAUAACACUCGACUCCAAACUGCACGAUUAUCUCCAUGGCCACUUACUACAAACUCAUCCACGCAAGUCAAUGCUUCUACACCGACGCCUUAAAAACGGACUCUAGUGACUACGUCGGACUUGCCUUCUACUCCCCUACUCCUCACACCCAAUUAUAUAAGAUCGAUGGCUAUGCCUCAGUUUUCACAGGCCUCGAGCGCGAAGAAAUUACCACCGCUUGCCACAUAAGGAGCAAUCACUACAACCUCCAAGCCAGUCUCUAUCGCUGCAACAUCACUUCUUCACCCGCUUGUAAGGGUGGUCAUCCUCUUCAAGAUAUCGACCACAUCCUCUGGAUCUGCAUCAAUUUUCGGCUCCAUAGACCUCACCUACUUCAACAGCUCAGGAAAAAAACCAAGAAACCUCUUCCUCCAGAUAUCUUCAAGAUUCUCUCUAACCCAUCUCCAGCAAUCAUCUCAUGUCUGGUCUCAUUCUUCAAAAAAAAUAAUCUAAACAUCUAACUCCUAGAUUGUCACUAGUUCUACUGCAAUUACUCCUCCACCACUCAUCGACUUGGCCGUGUGAGUCAGUGUGCUCAGGCCCGGGCCAACAAACAAAAAAAGAAGAGCCGAGAAUCUUGAGUAAUGGGUGAAUCCAGCGUGGAUCUCUUUGUGGAAGAGGGCUUCUUAGUAUCGGGGCAAAAUUUCUCUUGCGGUUUCGGUGAAAUCUUCAUUAUGAAAAUAAUGAUCAGGAAUUGUGCAAGGAUUUAUCACACACAAAAAAAAAUAUCCAAGGAGAACAAAAUGGCCGUAGCCACAAUCGUAUGCCGGCGCGAAUUUAGCGCAACAAGCUAGAAUUGGCUUAAAUUCACAAUGCUACCCGAACCGACCCCUCCUGCUCAUAUGGAUCAUCGAAACAAGACGCAGAUCACAUCUUUUGGAGCUGUCCACAUUACAACGAGCAAAGAAAGUUGCUUCUAACUCAACUGACGAAACAUAAAGAAACAUCAUCAUUUGGAAUUCAAUAGAUUUUGAAGAGCCCUUCCUCUGAGAUUAUUCACGCUCUCUACUCCUUUCUUAAAUCCUUCAACCUCAGUAUAUAAAUUUGCUCUUUUCCUUGUUAUUUUUCUUUAUUCUUAUUUCUACACUCGAUAACCAGUUGUUGGCCCGAAUAUCCUGAUCACAUUUAGAUCGGACGUGGCCAUUAAGACUAAGAAGAAGAAGAAGUAGUUUUGACAUAUGCAUAUUUAUUAUAAAUUUUAUUAAUUUAAUUAUAUCUCAGGUUUAUUAUUAUAUGUGCAUGUAUAUAAGAGUUAGAAUGAUUAUAAAAAAAGAUUCUCUUUAAUUAUUCAGAAAAAUACAUAAAAUGUCUUAAUGCCUUUAUAGACAUAAUCCAGGUAAAGAACAAAUAUUUGUUUAUAAUAUAAAUAUUUGGGUAUUUUUUGAUUGAUAAGUAUAUCACUAUACUAAGGAUACACUUAUAUUUGGUUGUAAAAUUUAACCAACCCUUAGUGUAAUAUGUUUUAUCUCAUUAGAGAAAAUUCAAAAAAGAAGAAAAUGUGAAAUAUCAUAUCUAUGCCUGAACUUUUGAAUAUUUAAUAUACAGAUUAAAAAUAUAA